rnacentral:rRNA from 1 species
UACGGAGGGUGCAAGCGUUAUCCGGAUUCACUGGGUUUAAAGGGUGCGUAGGAGGGUUGGUAAGUCAGUGGUGAAAAUCUCCGAGCUUAACUUGGAACUGCCGUUGAUACUAUCAAUCUUGAAUACCGUGGAGGUGAGCGGAAUAUGUCAUGUAGCGGUGAAAUGCUUAGAUAUGACAUAGAACACCAAUUGCGAAGGCAGCUCACUACGCGAAUAUUGA